ensembl:ncRNA Y37F4.11 ncRNA
UAAAGUGGGAUUGAGACGCAUAGAAAAAGAGUAUCUCGUUGUCUGCGUCUAUUC